rnacentral:rRNA from 1 species
UACGUAGGGUGCGAGCGUUGUCCGGAUUUAUUGGGCGUAAAGAGCGUGUAGGCGGCCAUGUAGGUCCGGUGUGAAAACUCGAGGCUUAACCUCGAGAUGUCAUCGGAAACCAUUUGGCUAGAGUCCGGAAGAGGAGAGUGGAAUUCCUGGUGUAGCGGUGAAAUGCGUAGAGAUGUGGAGGAACACCGAUGGCGAAGGCAGCCUCCUGGGCCAACACUGACGCUCAUGCACGAAAGCGUGGGGAGCAAACAGG